rnacentral:rRNA from 1 species
UACGGAGGGUGCAAGCGUUUGUCCGGAUUUAUUGGGUUUAAAGGGUGCGUAGGCGUCUGGUAAGUCUGGGGUGAAAGCCCGUUGCUCAACAACGGAACUGCCCUGGAAACUGCCAGACUUGAGUACAGACGAGGGUGGCGGAAUGGAUGCUGUAGCGGUGAAAUGCAUAGAUAGCCUCCAGAACCCCGAUUGCGAAGCAGCUGCCUAGACUGUAACUGACGCUGAGGCACGAAAGCGUGGGGAGCGAACAGG